AGAGUUUGAUCAUGGCUCAGGAUGAACGCUAGCGGCAGGCUUAAUACAUGCAAGUCGUGGGGCAGCACAGGUAGCAAUACUGGGUGGCGACCGGCAAACGGGUGCGGAACACGUACGCAACCUUCCUUUAAGUGGGGGAUAGCCCAGGGAAACUUGGAUUAAUACCCCUUAACAUUAUGAGAUGGCAUCAUUUUAUAAUUAAAGCUCCGGCGCUUAAAGAUGGGCGUGCGCCUGAUUAGGUAGUUGGCGGGGUAACAGCCCACCAAGCCUACGAUCAGUAACUGGUGUGAGAGCACGACCAGUCACACGGGCACUGAGACACGGGCCCGACUCCUACGGGAGGCAGCAGUAAGGAAUAUUGGUCAAUGGACGCAAGUCUGAACCAGCCAUGCCGCGUGGAGGAUGACGGCCCUCUGGGUUGUAAACUCCUUUUAUCUGGGAAGAAAUGCACUUUUUCUAAAGUGUUUGACGGUACCAGAGGAAUAAGCACCGGCUAACUCCGUGCCAGCAGCCGCGGUAAUACGGAGGGUGCAAGCGUUAUCCGGAUUCACUGGGUUUAAAGGGUGCGUAGGUGGAGUGGUAAGUCAGUGGUGAAAUCUCCAAGCUUAACUUGGAAACUGCCGUUGAUACUAUCAUUCUUGAAUAUCGUGGAGGUAAGCGGAAUAUGUCAUGUAGCGGUGAAAUGCUUAGAUAUGACAUAGAACACCGAUUGCGAAGGCAGCUUGCUACACGAUCAUUGACACUGAGGCACGAAAGCGUGGGGAUCAAACAGGAUUAGAUACCCUAGUAGUCC
rnacentral:rRNA from 1 species